rnacentral:rRNA from 1 species
AGAGUUUGAUCCUGGCUCAGGACGAACGCUGGCGGCGUGCUUAACACAUGCAAGUCGAACGGUGAAGUCCCUUCGGGGGCGGAUCAGUGGCGAACGGGUGAGUAACACGUGGGCAAUCUGCCCCUCACUGUGGGAUAACUCCGGGAAACCGGGGCUAAUACCGCAUAUGAAGCCUGGCGGCAUCGCCGGGUUUGGAAAGUUUUUCUGUGAGGGAUGAGCCCGCGGCCUAUCAGCUUGUUGGUGAGGUAAUGGCUCACCAAGGCGACGACGGGUAGCCGGCCUGAGAGGGCGACCGGCCACACUGGGACUGAGACACGGCCCAGACUCCUACGGGAGGCAGCAG